UCUGUAAAUGGGAUCAAUCAUCAUUCAGAGACUCCACAGAGGUGAUUUCUAAGCUCUAUGAGACAAAGAGCACAAUAACGUUUAAUGUGGAUAUGAUGCCAGGAGAUGAAGCCGCCAUCCUACAAAGCCCAGGAUCCUGGACCAAGCGGUUAGAAGGAACCCAGGUGCUUGAUGACGUCACCGAGAAGGGGCAAGGCCUUAGACUGUCUUGUUGUUUGAGAGAAACCCUAUUUAAUUAAAUCACUAUUGGUGGCUUUCUGUUGCUUUCAGCCAAGCUCAAUCCCAACUGACUCAACUACAUACAUGAAAAAAAGAUACCAAACACAAUCAACAAAUAAAAAGGAAUCUGUACAAGGUCCUACUGUAUAGCACAGGGAACUAUACUCAAUAUCUUAUAAUAACCUAUAAUGAAAAAGAAUACCUAUAUAUAUGUAUAACUGAAUCACUAUGCUGUACACCAGAAACUAACACAACACUAUACAUCAACUAUGCUUCAAUUAAAAAAAAAAAAAAGGGAAUCUG